GACGAACGCUGGCGGCGUGCUUAACACAUGCAAGUCGAACGGAAAGGCCCGGCUUUUGUGGGGUGCUCGAGUGGCGAACGGGUGAGUAACAAGGGAGUAGUCUGGCCUGGACUUCGGGAUAACUUCAGGAAACUGGGGCUUAUACCCGAUAGGUGCUCCUGCUGCAUGGUGGGGGUUGGCAAGGUUCGGCGGUUGGGGAUGGACUCGCGGCGUAUCAGCUUGCUGGUGGGGUAGUGGCUUACCAAGGCAUUGACCGGUAGCCGGACGGAGGGGGUGACAGGACAGAUUGGGACUGAGAUGAGGCACAGACCCAUACGGGAGGGAGGAGUGGGGAAGAGUGCACAAUGGGAGGAAGCAUGAUGCAGCAAAGCCGCGUGCGGGAUGACGAGCAUCGGGUUGGUAACCGCUGUCGCAUGUGACGAGGCGUGAGUGACGGUAAUGGGUAAAGAAGCACCGGCUAACUACGUG
rnacentral:rRNA from 1 species